rnacentral:rRNA from 1 species
UCGGGAAUUUUGGGCAAUGGGCGAAAGCCUGACCCAGCAACGCCGCGUGAAGGAUGAAGUAUUUCGGUAUGUAAACUUCGAAAGGAUAGGAAGAAUAAAUGACGGUACUAUUUAUAAGGUCCGGCUAACUACGUGCCAGCAGCCGCGGUAAUACGUAGGGACCAAGCGUUGUUCGGAUUUACUGGGCGUAAAGGGCGCGUAGGCGGCAAUUCAAGUCAUCUGUGAAAUCUCCGGGCUUAACUCGGAACGGUCAGAUGAUACUGCUUUGCUAGAGUGCAGAAGGGGCAAUCGGAAUUCUUGGUGUAGCGGUGAAAUGCGUAGAUAUCAAGAGGAACACCUGAGGUGAAGACGGGUUGCUGGGCUGACACUGACGCUGAGGCGCGAAAGCCAGGGGAGCAAACGGGAUUAGAUACCCGGGUAGUCCCUGAGCGGGCUGGCAAGGCGCAU